rnacentral:rRNA from 1 species
CCUACGGGUGGCUGCAGUGGGGAAUAUUGCACAAUGGGGGUAACCCUGAUGCAGCAACGCCGCGUGAGUGAUGAAGUUUCUAUGUAUGGUAAGCUCUAUCAGCAAGGAAGUAGAGUGACGGUACCUGACUAAGAAGCCCCUGCUAACUACAUGCCAGCAGCCGCGGUAAUACGUAGGGGGCAAGCGUUAACCGGAUUUAUUGGGGUUAAAGGGCGUGUAGGCGGGUAAGUAAGUCAGAUGUGAACACUUAGGGCUCAACCCUAAGCCUGCAUUUGAAACUGGUAUGCUUGAGUGCGGGAGAGGCAAUCGGAAUUCGGGGUGUAGCGGUGAAAUGCUUAGAUAUAAGGAGGAACACCAGUGGCGAAGGCGGAGUGCUGGACAGUAACUGACGCUGAGGCGCGAAAGCGUGGGGAGCAAACAGGAUUAGAUACCCUUGUAGUC